rnacentral:lncRNA from 1 species
GCCUGCUUGUCAUUGUUUAUGGUGGUGGUGGUGGUGGUGGUAGUGGUGGUCCUUCAUUCUUGAAGAGGACCAAGGACAUUAUGAGAAUGAUGACUGGACUUGUGUGUGAAUUGGAUUUAAGAGAGGCAGAGCUGCCCAAAGUUGUCACCUCAUUCCGGCCAGUACAUUGCAGACAUUUAAUAAGUGUUAUGAUUACUAAAUAACAGAAUCUCAGGCUGAAAGAGAUCCAACAGGGCACCUAGACUAAGCCAAACCUGAAGAAUACCUCUGACAAUACAUCGGUAAAUUGCAUGCCAUAGUUGAUAGAGUGCUUCAAUUGGAGUUGGCAAGAUCUGGGUUCAAAUCCUUCCUCUGACAUUUAGAAACUGUGUUAAAGAACUUACUCCCAAUUAUGAGUCAUCACAUCCUCUACAUAUCCACCCACCCAGACUGACACAUUUGAUAUCUUGAUUUUCAACUUGGAGGCUUCAACUCUACAGUCUGUUGUGCAACUUGCCUUGUUAAAUGACUUCUUGGCAUGGGUGGGUACCAAAAAUGGGCAUAAAAUCAAUACUCGUUCGCCGUCAGUGAUGAUAAUUCAAGGUCAUUAUUGACGUUAUUUCAAACCAUAAAAUUAGCAUAUCAUUAAUGGCAGAAUUUAAAUAGCUCUGAGAUACUCUGAAAGCCAUCAUCUCUUGAAAGAAGCUCUCUUGUUCCAGUCACCUGUCUUAGGAGCCUAGAACCAUGAAGCUCUAUCUUUUAGCCUUUCUUAUGGCUCUUCUGGUUGUCCUGGCCGGAGCUGACUCUUCAUCAGAAGAGGAGCACCAUGGCAAGCACCAUCACAAGGUAAAAUUAUAUUUUAUUGUGUUUAACGUAUAAUUUACUGGAUUUAACAUAUGCAAUUUGUUAGUAUACUUCUUUAACUUCCCUCCCCCAAUAUCUCAUUGCUAAUUGUUCCUGAGCAAAUGUGUAUUUAAAUAAAGCAGAGAUAGAUAUUGAUUCCA